UAAUGUAUGGGGAUCUGCCCGAUAGAGGGGGAUAACUACUGGAAACGGUGGCUAAUACCGCAUAAUGUCUACGGACCAAAGCAGGGGCUCUUCGGACCUUGCCACUAUCGGAUGAACCCAUAUGGGAUUAGCUAGUAGGUGGGGUAAAGGCUCACCUAGGCGACGAUCUCUAGCUGGUCUGAGAGGAUGAUCAGCCACACUGGGACUGAGACACGGCCCAG
rnacentral:rRNA from 1 species